rnacentral:rRNA from 1 species
UACGUAGGGAGCAAGCGUUGUCCGGAAUCAUUGGGCGUAAAGCGCGCGUAGGUGGCCCCGUAAGUCCGCUGUGAAAGUCAAAGGCUCAACCUUUGAAAGCCGGUGGAUACUGUGGGACUAGAGUACGGAAGAGGCGAGUGGAAUUCCUGGUGUAGCGGUGGAAUGCGCAGAUAUCAGGAGGAACACCAAUAGCGAAGGCAGCUCGCUGGGACGGUACUGACGCUGAGACGCGAAAGCGUGGGGAGCGAACAGG